AAAGGUCCUGCUAAUGAGCAGACGGUGAAUCAGGAUGAACAUCAGCAGCAAGUGUACUCCUCUCUUCUUCAUGGUGAUCGUUGUGUCUAUGAGACAAUCAGAGGCUCUGAAAACACUGAAAAUGGACAACGUGGUGACCCAGAGGAGAGCUCUGACUACUAUAAUGUGAAUCCAAAUUCAGCCACAGCUCUAAAAUCUUAACAGCAGCUCUUUAGCUGUUUUUAUCUUUUUCUCUUUAAAGGAACUUAAAAACUUGAUGUCACUUUGAGUGAAAAGGAGCAGAUUUUUCAUUCAAAGCAAUGAUCCUGAUAGCCUGAGUUUAUAUUUCCUUCAGAAAGAAUCCCUCAGUGUGUUUCACUCAUUUCUUAUUAGUCAUAAUAUUAAUGAACUUUAAUGUGCUGUAGAUCUGUUUUUAUGGUGAACCCCAAGUUGCUCUCUGAUGCAAGCAUUGGAGUAUGAAUGUGUGUGUGAAUGUUAGACAUUUACAGCUUAGUUACUCAUAUUCAUUGUUUGAAUAUGGGUUGUAUACAUGUUGUUGUAAACGUGUUGUAU